rnacentral:rRNA from 1 species
UGAGGAAUAUUGGGUCAAUGGACGGAAGUCUGAACCAGCCAUGCCGCGUGAAGGAAUAAGGCCCUAUGGGUCGUAAACUUCUUUUGUGGUGGAGCAAUAAGAUCUACGCGUAGGUCGAUGAGAGUACAUCACGAAUAAGCAUCGGCUAACUCCGUGCCAGCAGCCGCGGUAAUACGGAGGAUGCAAGCGUUAUCCGGAAUUAUUGGGUUUAAAGGGUGCGUAGGCUGUUUUGCAAGUCAGGGGUGAAAGCCCGGAGCUCAACUCCGGAACUGCCUUUGAUACUGCGAGGCUGGAAUACGGAUGCCGUGGGAGGAAUGAGUAGUGUAG